rnacentral:rRNA from 1 species
UACAGAGGGGGCAAGCGUUGUUCGGAAUUACUGGGCGUAAAGGGCGCGUAGGUGCCGCUUCUAAGUUGAACGUGAAAUCCCUGGGCUCAACCCAGGAACUGCGUCCAAGACUGGGAGCUUGAAUCGGGAGAGGGAUGCGGAAAUCCCAGGUGUAGCGGUGAAAUGCGUAGAUAUCUGGAGGAACACCGGUGGCGAAGGCGGCAUCCUGGACCGGUA